rnacentral:rRNA from 1 species
GACGAACGCUGGCGGCGUGCUUAACACAUGCAAGUCGAACGGUAAGGCCCUUCGGGGUACACGAGUGGCGAACGGGUGAGUAACACGUGGGUAAUCUGCCCUGCACUUCGGGAUAAGCCUGGGAAACUGGGUCUAAUACCGGAUAGGACCACUGCCUGCAUGGGUGGCGGUGGAAAGCUUUUGCGGUGUGGGAUGGGCCCGCGGCCUAUCAGCUUGUUGGUGGGGUGAUGGCCUACCAAGGCGACGACGGGUAGCCGGCCUGAGAGGGUGACCGGCCACACUGGGACUGAGAUACGGCCCAGACUCCUACGGGAGGCAGCAGUGGGGAAUAUUGCACAAUGGGCGCAAGCCUGAUGCAGCGACGCCGCGUGAGGGAUGACGGCCUUCGGGUUGUAAACCUCUUUCAGCACCGACGAAGCGCAAGUGACGGUAGGUGCAGAAGAAGGACCGGCCAACUACGUGCCAGCCGCCGCGGUAA